UGGGGAAUAUUGCACAAUGGGGGAAACCCUGAUGCAGCAACGCCGCGUGAGUGAUGACGGUCUUCGGAUUGUAAAGCUCUGUCUUUGGGGACGAUAAUGACGGUACCCAAGGAGGAAGCCACGGCUAACUACGUGCCAGCAGCCGCGGUAAUACGUAGGUGGCGAGCGUUGUCCGGAUUUACUGGGCGUAAAGGGAGCGUAGGCGGAUUUUUAAGUGGGAUGUGAAAUACCCGGGCUCAACCUGGAUGCUGCAUUCCAAACUGGGAAUCUAGAGUGCAGGAGGGGAGAGUGGAAUUCCUAGUGUAGCGGUGAAAUGCGUAGAGAUUAGGAAGAACACCAGUGGCGAAGGCGACUCUCUGGAAUGUAACUGACGCUGAGGCUCGAAAGCGUGGGGAGCGAACAGG
rnacentral:rRNA from 1 species